GAGCUAUUGAAAAGGCACGGCAUGAAGAGGAAAUGACAUUGCUAGCUAGAGAAAGAGCACGUGCCGAGUUUCAAGACUGGGAGAAGAAAGAGGAAGAGUUUCAUUUUGACCAAAGCAAGGUCAGGUCUGAGAUCAGGUUGCGGGAGGGGCGUACAAAGCCUAUUGAUGUUCUCCUUAAGAAUCAUUUGCUCAUCCUUAUCUAAGUGGAUUAACAGUGAAAGAAAUGGAAGAGCUACGUGAUGACAUUAAGAUGCAUCUUGAU